UACGGAGGGUGCAAGCGUUGCUCGGAAUCAUUGGGCGUAAAGCGCGUGUAGGCGGCUGCCUAAGUCUAAUGUGAAAUCCCGGAGCUUAACUCCGGAACUGCAUCGGAUACUGGGCAGCUAGAGGAUGAGAGAGGAUGGUGGAAUUCCAGGUGUAGGGGUGAAAUCCGUAGAUAUCUGGAGGAACAUCGGUGGCGAAGGCGGCCAUCUGGCUCAUUUCUGACGCUGAGACGCGAAAGCGUGGGGAGCAAACAGG
rnacentral:rRNA from 1 species